rnacentral:lncRNA from 1 species
UGAAUCUUGGUAUGUUUCUAAUUUUGCCCUUUGUUAUUAAAAGUUUUUCAUUUUGGUCAUUGAGCAGUACGCGGAGCGUACCAUUAGGUACGCUUAGUGUACUAAUACGAGAGUGGGACGGGAUUGGAGAUGCCGAGAUGGUAUGUUAUGGAUUAUAAGGAUCUUAUGUUCAUAGUUCUAUUAAUUUUAUUAUUUUUAGAAGUGGGUAAUAUGUUUUAGGGGGUGUUUGGAUAGGAAAAAAAGAGCUGCUUAUUGCUUAUUCCCACAAUAAGCUAAUUUAAGUGUUUGGAUAAAAUCCAGCUUAUUAGGCUAAAUAAGCUAAUUUUAAUAAGCAUUCAUUCCCAUGCUUAUUGCUUAUUGCUUAUUCCCACCACAAAUAAGCUAUAAGCAAUAAGUUAAAAAUCUAAUCCAAACACCCCUAAACAAAUUUAUAGAUUCUAUUACUUUGAUUUAGCUCAAGGACAUACUCUAAUAAUGGUUUGAUUUAAUUCAAUUGACCCCGUCUUUAAAGUUGUUCAUCUACAUAUAUGUCAUACCCCUGGAUAGAUUUGUCGUUUCCUUCUGCAUAUAUGAUGUCGUGGUAAUCAAUUGUAAACUUAAAUUUACCUUAUCUAGUCAACAUGCUCAAUAUCUUCGUUAAGAACACAACCUUUAUCUUGAUCAUAUUAGUUUCGUCCAUUUAGUUUUCUUCUCCUGCAAUUAAGUGUAGACUUUAAUUCUAGAAUUCUUUUUUGUGGGUAAUUGGUGAAAUUUUUAAUGUUUAUAUAGUUUAAACAGCCUGCGACUGUUACCUAGAUUGUUAUUGUUAUUUGUAUUCGAUAACUAUAUAGGCAACAAGAUGACAAGGAUGUAAUGUUAGCCAGAAAACAAAGGAAUUACAAGUUAUUCGGCUAUAAAUAGGAGGCCAAGCCUCAUUCCUUCUCCUGUAACUUCCCAAACAUCUCGAUUUCUUUCAAUUCUAGCCCAUUUUCUCUUAGUUUUAGUCUUCGGCAAAGUCCUAUGACCCCUGUAGUAGUAGUAGUAGUAGUAGUAGUAGCUACCGAGUAGAAGCUCUGCAUGUGCAAUUUCCUAAGUUUUGUCAGAAAGAACCUAUGUAAGUUAAGCUACACUCUAGUCUUUUCGGUGUAACUUAUAUUUAUAGUCAUAAUUCGUUAUUAUGAACAUAUAAGUAAGAUUUAUCAGUGAUUCCAAGUCGUAAUACUGAUUGAUCUACUUACGGGAGAGGUGUCUAAAAUGGUCACUGUAACACCUGAAUCUUGGUAUAUUUCUAAUUUUGCCCUUUGUUAUUAAAAGUUUUUCAUUUUGGUCAUUGAGCAGUACGCGGAGCGUACCAUUAGGUACGCUUAGUGUACUAAUACGAGAGUGGGACGGGACUCCGGGCAGGUACGUUGGGCGUACAUCCUUGUACGCGGGGCGUACGUGCGAGAUGUUGAAACCGUAAUUUAGGGUGUUGUACCCUAUAUAAAGGCCUUAAGUCCUCAAGGAUGGCCUCUAUACCAGCCUUCAUUGCCAUAAAA